UCGAGCACACGAAGCGCCAUUGCCACGCGUUGCGUUGCUCUCGAUUGUGAUUGCCUAGCUUUGAAUGAUCCUAAUUCGAAAACGGUGCCGUUUAGACCAUAUGCUCAUCGAUAUUUUCGACUUGUUUCGAUGCCCCUUAUCGGUGCGCAGAACUUUACGACGAAGUUUUUCUUCACCCUGUAUAUUAUUUCUGUUAUAUCCGUUCGUAUGUCCGGUUGUCCUUGGCGAUCUCACUCUCAAAUGCAAAAAUAUGCUUUCAUUAAUUUCUUAAACUGCAUUCUUCUAUAGACGGAAUUGCAAUAGAUCUGCUAAUUUUUUAAAUAAAUACUCAGUAUUAAGUAAUAAAAUUAUGAUUUUAUGUGCAAUUAUUCAGGAAAGAUGAGGAAAAUUUACAAGCAAGAUUAACGGCGAAUUCAAUUUAUUGUAUUUUAAUUUCUGACGAUAAACUUGAAUAUUCUUAAAUUAUAAUAGUCUACUGGUAGCCAUG
rnacentral:lncRNA from 1 species